UCUGCUUUGACUUUUUCUAGAGCCUUGAUCAUUUGCUUUGUUACUUCUGGUGUUACCACUUCAGAGAGUCCAGGCAAUCUCAGUCUUGGUAUACCAGGAGCAACAACUGAUUAGCACAAUUAUGUCACCUUGGCUAAAGUAGUGCAAUCAACAAUAACAAUAGCAUCAAAUACAGCCUAGAAAAUGACAAAUUAGGGGAGAAGAUUUAAAAGGGGUUGCGGUUAAAAAUAGAAGAAGAGGGCUGGGCCGGGAUUUAGCUCAGUGGUUCUGCAGCCUACUUCAAAAGUGCGAGGUCCAGAGUUUGUUCGGUACUAAAAAAAAAGAAGAGGAGGAAGAGAUCAGAAGCAAGGCUGGAGGACAAACUUUAGGAAACUGGUGAAGAGGACAGGUGGGAAACUGGAGGGAAAAAAAUAGAAACAACAGAACAGAACAACAGCAAAAAACUAGAAACUGUGUUCAAACAGUCAUGUAAAAAACUAAACAAAACAAGAUCCAGAAAGGAGAAAAAAAGAAAAAGGUUAAAAACCCAAAAAAGUCCAAUUCAAGGUGUCUCUCUGCAGUCACUUUUAGGCAAUGUGGGCAAACAGAGUCCAGAGCCAAACUGAAUAAUCCCAGCAAGCUAGCUGCAGCUUCCCAGUGGGGUAAUCGAUAAUCCCAGCCAGCCUGCCCCUUUAAUUCCUCUCAAGCUCAGGCCAGUUUCUGGCUAUGAGGCUGGAACCAGAUUCUUGGAACUUAUAACAGUCUAUGUGUCUCCUGCCUGCUUGAACUCCACUCCCCAGACCUGCUGACUUGAACUCAGCACCCGCACCCAGGUACCUGGAGCCAGUAGAUGGAGUCUUCCCGAAGUGGUUCUGAGUUCAGGGCUCAGUUGGCCCCUCUCCAAGAUGGCUGUCAGCCAGUCACCCCCCUCCUGGGUGAGGUCUGAACCCGAAUAACUCACCAGGUGCUGCAGUCCGGUUUGUCCACUGCUGUGUUCCACUGGUGUGUUUCUUGUGGAGGCCUCUGGGUGGGGGUCGUCUGCAGUCACUGCAUCUGCCAUUCCCUGGAGAAGAGUCCAGGCUCUGGGAGAGAGGGCUGCUUGGCACCUCCCUCCUCUCGUUAAAGUCUCUCCACUCUUCCUGUAGACUUCAAUUCUUGCCUCAGAUCCUUCCUGGGUUCCUGGGAACUGCUUCCCUCCUCCUGCUGUAUUCCAGUGUCAGAACACCACCACUGUGCCAUCCAGGAGCUGCUUUUUAAAUAAAUUGUAGUGGAUCUUUUUCUUUGAGAUUUUGUUUUUGAUGUUUGGAGACAGGGUCCAUCCUGGGCUUGAACUUGUGAUCUUCCCGCCUCAGUCUGCGAGAGUUCUGGGCUCACAGCCAAGCAGCACCAUGCCUGAUU
rnacentral:lncRNA from 1 species